rnacentral:hammerhead_ribozyme from 1 species
GUACUGCUGAAGAAUCCCAAACUAGGAUGAAACAGCUAGAUGUCCAGUAC